rnacentral:rRNA from 1 species
CUGCCCAGUGACACUCGUUCAACGGCCGCGGUAUCCUAACCGUGCAAAGGUAGCAUAAUAACUUGCCUAUUAAUUGUAGGCUAGAAUGAACGGAUAAACGAAAUAUGAACUGUCUCCGCUUGGACCCUAUAAAUUAUAAUUUAACUGAAGACAGUUAAAUAAAGUCGAAGGACAAGAAGACCCUAUAGAGCUUAAUUUUAAAAUGGGGGUUACCCAAAUAAAAUUUGGUUGGGGCGACCAAGGACAAUAAAAAUCAUCCUAAUAAAUUAAGAUAUCUUAAUCACAUAAAUGACCCUACAAAGAUCAAGAGAAAAGCUACCUUAGGGAUAACAGGCUAAUUCUGUUUAAGAGUCCAUAUCAAUAACAGAGUUUGGCACCUCGAUGUUGGCUUAGGGUAUCUAUAAGGCGCAAAAGUCUUAUACAGAUGGUUUGUUCAACCAAUAAAUCCCU